UGGUGGGUUGCCUUGUCAGGUUGAUUCCGGUAACGAACGAGACCUCAGCCUGCUAAAUAGUCUCACUUGCUUUUUGUCAGGUGGCUGACUUCUUAGAGGGACUAUUGGCGUUUAGUCAAUGGAAGUAUGAGGCAAUAACA
rnacentral:rRNA from 1 species